AAUGGAAGCUGCAGGAACCAGCCUCGUGGACAAAUGAAAAAAUACCUUUGUCUACAGAUUGCAGCGGUCCUACAUGAACGUGGAGGUCUCUGUCUGACUUAGGUCAGUUGGCUAAGUCUGAUCGUUCCCCUCCAUACAGC
rnacentral:snoRNA from 1 species